rnacentral:misc_RNA from 1 species
GCUAGGAGUUCCAUACUGCUGCCAUGAGUUGAAUACAAUUGCAUCUGGAUUCCACCUGCGAUCAUUGUCAUUUACGAAAAGCGGUGCAUAACUCGCCAUUCCCACAAUAUCACUGUUCUUUUCUAACCCAAUGAGAAAUCCAGCUUCUGCUAGCGCAGCUAAGAAGCUUCCUUUGCCAGCGUCAUUGCCGGUUACAGCAUACUCGCUAACAAAAGCCUUCGGACCGGUACGUGAUGUGAGGUCAAAUUGAGUAGCCAUUGAAAAAAGGUUG